UCACAUACGACCAUACCCAGCUGAAAAUACGGGAUCCCGUCCGCUCUCCCAUCGUCAAGCAGUUGAGGGUCGAAUCAGUACUCAGGUGGGUGACCACUGGGGAAUCCUCGAUGUUGUAUGUUUUG
rnacentral:rRNA from 1 species